AGAGUUUGAUCCUGGCUCAGAACGAACGCUGGCGGCAGGCUUAACACAUGCAAGUCGAACGUGAAGCCACCUUCGGGUGGUGGAAAGUGGCAGACGGGUGAGUAACGCGUGGGAACGUACCCUUCGGUUCGGAAUAACCCGGGGAAACUCGGGCUAAUACCGGAUACGUCCUGCCCCUUAAACAAGGGUGGGAGAAAGAUUUAUCGCCGAAGGAUCGGCCCGCGUCCGAUUAGCUUGUUGGUGGGGUAAUGGCCCACCAAGGCGACGAUCGGUAGCUGGUCUGAGAGGAUGAUCAGCCACACUGGGACUGAGACACGGCCCAGACUCCUACGGGAGGCAGCAGUGGGGAAUAUUGGACAAUGGGCGCAAGCCUGAUCCAGCCAUGCCGCGUGAGUGAAGAAGGCCCUAGGGUUGUAAAGCUCUUUCAGCGGGGAAGAUAAUGACGGUACCCGCAGAAGAAGCCCCGGCUAACUUCGUGCCAGCAGCCGCGGUAAUACGAAGGGGGCUAGCGUUGUUCGGAUUUACUGGGCGUAAAGCGCGCGUAGGCGGAUUGUUAAGUCAGGGGUGAAAUGCCGGGGCUCAACCUCGGAACUGCCCUUGAUACUGGCAAUCUGGAGUUCGGGAGAGGUGAGUGGAAUUCCGAGUGUAGAGGUGAAAUUCGUAGAUAUUCGGAGGAACACCAGAAGCGAAGGCGGCUCACUGGCCCGAUACUGACGCUGAGGCGCGAAGCGUGGGGAGCAAACAGGAUUAGAUACCCUGGUAGUCCACCGCCGUAAACGAUGAAUGCCAGCCGUUGGAGAGCAUGCUCUUCGGUGGCGCAGCUACGCAUUGAGCCAUCCGCCUGGGGAGUUACGAUCGCAAGAUUAAAAUNCAAGGGNAUUGACGGGGGCCCGCACAAGCCGUGGAGCAUUGUGGUUUAAUUCGAAGCAACGCGAAGAACCUUACCAGCCCUUGACAUCCCGGUCGCGGAUUCCAGAGAUGGAUUCCUUCAGUUCGGCUGGACCGGUGACAGGUGCUGCAUGGCUGUCGUCAGCUCGUGUCGUGAGAUGUUGGGUUAAGUCCCGCAACGAGCGCAACCCUCGCCCUUAGUUGCCAUCAUUCAGUUGGGCACUCUAGGGGGACUGCCGGUGAUAAGCCGAGAGGAAGGUGGGGAUGACGUCAAGUCCUCAUGGCCCUUACGGGCUGGGCUACACACGUGCUACAAUGGCGGUGACAAUGGGAUGCUACCCCCCAAGGAGACGCCAAUCCCCAAAAGCCGUCUCAGUUCGGAUUGUCCUCUGCAACUCGAGGGCAUGAAGUUGGAAUCGCUAGUAAUCGUGGAUCAGCAUGCCACGGUGAAUACGUUCCCGGGCCUUGUACACACCGCCCGUCACACCAUGGGAGUUGGUUCUACCCGAAGACGGUGCGCUAACCCGCAAGGGAGCCCCCCGGCCACGGUAGGGUCAGCGACUGGGGUGAAGUCGUAACAAGGUAGCCGUAGGGGAACCUGCGGCUGGAUCACCUCCUU
rnacentral:rRNA from 1 species